rnacentral:rRNA from 1 species
AUGGUGUUACUUGACAUUAGGGGUAUGUUGCAGUCCAUGGGUAAAGACAUUGUUGAUUUCGCUCUGCCAAGCAUCGAUGAUGCGUUUGACCCAACCGAGGGCGAGGCAAGAGUGGUCAUCGAGGAAUCAACCGUUGAGUUUGACAUGGAUGACACUAAAUUGGCAUCUUCCCUGAACUUGGAGCAGAGGGCCGCAUACGACGAGAUACUAGCGGCUGUUGAACGCGGUGAUGGGGGUGUAUUCUUUGUUGAUGGCCCUAGAGGUACAGGAAAGACCUUCCUAUACAGGGCGAUGCUUGCCAAGGUGAGGAGCGAUGGCAAGAUUGGUAUCGCUACCGCGACGUCGGGCGUCGCCGCUUCUAUCAUGCCUGGCGGCAAGACUGCCCACUCGAGGUUCAAGACCCCAUUGAGUUGCAAUGAUGGAGCCUCGUGCAGCUUCACCAAGCAGAGUGGGACCGCGAAGCUGCUAAGGAUGGCCUCAUUGAUAAUAUGGGACGAGGCCAGCAUGACGAAGCGACAAGCGGUCGAGGCAUUGGACAAUAGCAUGCGCGACAUUAUGGGAAUACGCGACCGACCCUUUGGAGGAAAGACUGUUGUUUUUGGUGGGAACUUUAGGCAGGUGCUUCCGGUCGUCAGAAGGGGGUCGUGGGGCCAGAUAAUUGAUGCAACCCUCCGAAGUUCUCAUCUAUGGAAGGGUAUGCGGCAGCUUCGGCUCAUCACCAAUAUGAGGGCUCAUAAUGACACGUGGUUUGCAGAUUACUUGCUAAGGGUCGGCAAUGGCACUGAGGAUGUCGACGAUCAAGGCAACAUACUACUCCCUGAAGACAUCUGUCUGCCAUCUACAGGCGAGGUUGACGACCUGGAGAAGCUUAUUGACCACGUGUUUCCGAGUCUAGAUGACAACAUGUCUGAUUCGAAUUACAUGACACUCGCGCAAUCCUUUCCACGACAAACGACAAUGUCGACAAGAUAA